UACGUAGGGUGCAAGCGUUGUCCGGAAUUAUUGGGCGUAAAGAGCUCGUAGGCGGUUCGUCGCGUCGGCUGUGAAAACCUGAGGCUCAACCUCAGGCCUGCAGUCGAUACGGGCGGACUAGAGUGCGGUAGGGGAGACUGGAAUUCCUGGUGUAGCGGUGAAAUGCGCAGAUAUCAGGAGGAACACCGGUGGCGAAGGCGGUUCUCUGGGCAUUACCUGACGCUGAGGAGCGAAAGUGUGGGGAGCGAACAGG
rnacentral:rRNA from 1 species